rnacentral:misc_RNA from 1 species
UUUCCGUAGGUGAACCUGCGGAAGGAUCAUUAUUGUAUAACCGAGGUGCGAGGGCUGUCGCUGACCCGACAGGUCGUGCACGCCCGAGUGCCCUCACACACAUCCAUCUCACCCCUAUGUGCACCACCGCGUGGGUCCCCCUUUGGCUUGUUCGGAGGGGGGCUUACGUUUUCACACAAACUUUGUAUGCAGUGUAGAAUGUAUUUUUUGUUUUUGCGAUCACGCAAUCAAUACAACUUUCAACAACGGAUCUCUUGGCUCUCGCAUCGAUGAAGAACGCAGG